AUAAGUCAGGACCUGGCUCAAAGCCCAUUGAAGUCAAUGGGAGUCUUUCCACUGACUUCAGUGGAUUUUGGGUCAGGCCUUCAUUAU
rnacentral:pre_miRNA from 1 species